rnacentral:lncRNA from 1 species
UGUGAUGGAUUGUUGAUUCUUUGGAGCAGAGAAGUGUGAAAGUCGUGAAGAGAGUAUUUGAAUCCUGAUAGUUGACGCUCUAGACGCCUCAAAACUUUAGGGAACUCUUGGUUAUGGAGGUUGAUCAGCUCCGAGACCGGCUCAAAACAUGAUCCUAUCUUUGUCGGGUCAGUUAUCGACAUGCUUGGUGUACAACCGUAUGGACCUAAGCUCAAGAACCCGAACUUCCUUGCUCCCAUUUUAUACAAUUCCUAAAGAAAUAAUCACAAUUAUUCAGAAUAAAAUUUUCUAAUUAAUAUUUAUCUCUGCUUAAAGUUAUUAAAUAUGUUAUUUACCUCGAUGACGUUGGUUGUGUUACCAAUAACGAAGUCAACGAAUCUCUCUUUGGUAGUGGUAGUAAUAGUUGUGGUAUUUGCGAAGAAAGGGUAUUGGUAGUCAUUUGCUCCGAUGUGAAAGAGAUAAACAGCUUUCGAGAUGACUCUUCUAGCCUCUGCAUCUCCUAGUUUCGAUCUCAACACUUGCGUUGCGUUCUUGAAGCUGCUUAGCUGCGUUCCUAAGUCUUUUGACUUCACAAAAAAAAAAAGUCAAAGUCAAUGAUUUUAGUCAAACAUAUGAAUAUUUAUUUUGAUGUUUUUGUUUCUUUUGAAGAGAUUAAUUACCACUCCGGGAAAAGUUGCGGCAAAUACUCCGGCGGCUGUGGUGGCAAAAUUAAGACCAUAGGUUAGUUGACUGCUGCUGUAACCAGGUUGUAGGUUUGGUGGGAGCAAUGGUAACCAAGCAUCUUCAGCUGUAACGUCCAAAAUCAGCAACAUAAAUCAGUUAGGUUAUAACUUUUUUGUCUAAACAAAAACAAUUUAAACGUAAGAUGUUGUAGAACUGAUGAUUUACCGAUAAAGUCUAUCAUUAUCCGUCCAUCGGAAACCCGUCCCGUCGGAAACUGAAACGUUGUUUUACCAUACGGCCAGUAAUUUGACCGGAAACCAGGGAGAGAAUCGAAGUAGUUGUUGUUUCCAGCUUCGAACAGGGAAUCUCCGAACACGAACAAAGCGGCUUGGUUAGUAACGAAAUCGUUUUUGCAAGAAAUCGAGCCGAACGAUAAGCUUAACGUGCAGAUGAAUAAGAUGGUGAUCAUCGAGCUAAAUUUAGAACUUGCCAUGUUUGAGUUGUAGCCUCUUUUUCUUCCUAUACAGAACUAUUAGCUGAUCCGUUUUAUAUAUAUACACAAGAUUGUUGAAUAUUUCAGUACGUUUUAAUAAUGUAACAUGGUCAAGUUGCUUGUCUUUGUAAUCAUUUAUUUCAGUUGUACGACUUUGAAUAUAAUUUUUCAUCAAAGACUCGAUUAAUUUUGAAUAAGGCUGCGGAGUUUUGACGAAGACAGACUCAAAUAAUAAUUUGUAUUUUUGUAAAAAUAAAUUAUAUUUUUGUAUACGGCUGCGGCUCUUUAACAAAAAAAAUACGACUGCGGCAUUCACUAAUGCAGCCUCAAAUAAUUGAUAAUGUUGGAGAGGAAUUUAACAUUCCCUGCAAGGCCCAUCAAACAAUGGUAUUUGGCCUGUUUACAUCGACAAUCCGGUCAAGACCGGUUUAGCUGACGGAUCGAUCGGACAGAACAUUUGAUCGAUCGGUUCGAUCGACGUCAACCUGACGAAACUUCAUUUUACUCGAAAGCCCAUUUCACUUAGACUUGGGCCAGGCUUCUAGGGCGAACUAACUUUAGGGCGAAUGAAGGAAAGACCAACCGAGUCUAUAAAAGGACAACAUAAAGAAUAGAGAAGGGGAUCCGCAAACAGACACUAAGACACUGACGGCAAGAUCUAUGGUUUACGACCAAUCGCUCUGCUUAGUGUUUCCGUCGGAGUCUUUCAACAAAGCUCCGACAUUUUCCUUCUUUCCUUAAUCUCUUUGUAAUCCCGUUCGUUUAUCUCAUAUUGUGAAUAAAACGUCUUUGUAAGACCCACAAAACCGAGUUCAUUUCAUUAUCAUUCGAUCUACCAAACUCAUAUUCAACAUUUGGCGCCCACCGUGGGGCCUUACAGAGUAACGUUCACGAAUUCAGUAUGGGUCCCGACGAAACACCCGCUGACGGUAACAGACCGUCGGCCUCUGUUACGCCGAUUCUCGAUGCUCUGAUCGCUCCGAACCCAUCCGUUCCCGAGAUGCUGCAGGCCAUCAUGGCACAUUUCAUUCAACAAGAAGAAACCAACAAAUCUACGAGCGACCGUCUGGCCGCACUCGCCGCCGCUCUCGGAACCCUAGCUGGCGAAAACGACAGAGCGGAAACGGCAAGAAGAAAGUUGUUCGCAACCACAAACCCUAACCAUGGAGUCGAACAACCAACAGACGAAGCAAACCCUACGAACGGCGAGACUGCACAAACGACUGACGGCUCAGACUCUCUGACUAGUCGCCAGAUCGCCGAUAUGCAACUCUCACUGCGGGACAUCCACUCUAAGAUACAUCAUGUCAAGGCAUCCACACCAGAGAUCGAACGCGUUCUCGCCACCACCCGGCGAAACCCUUUCACCCAGCGGUUAAUGAAAGUCAAGAUCAAAAAGACGGAGAAACUCUGUAUCCCUCCAUACAAGGGGGAUUCGGAUCCGACCGAUCACAUGACCGCUUUCAACAUAGCUAUGGGUCGAAAUCACUUCUCUGACGAAGAAAGAGACGCAUGCCUCUGCCAACUCUUCGUCGAGAGCCUCUCCGGACCGGCCCUAAGUUGGUUUUCACAUUUAAAAGAGGGUUCGAUUGAUAGCUUCGAUGACCUGUCCGCCUCUUUCCUCAAAAACUACAUCAUGUGGUCCCGUCAAGGAACAUCCAUGGCCGACCUAUGGAAACUAUCCCAGUCGCAAAACAAAAGUCUCAAGAACUUUAUGGAAAAAUUAAAGCUAGUACUAUCAAAGGUACAUACCCCGGAUCACACCACCGUCGAAGCCUUGACCAACGCGCUUUGGAUUAACUCCAAGUUUCGAGACUACCUCGGGAUUAACCCAACUAUAACCAUCGAAGACGCUCUGCACGAUUCAAAGAACUUUAUCAAGAUGGACGAAGACAAGCGAGCUCACAACGCCAAGCAGCAGGCUCUAAAGCCGACAACAUCAAAGACAUCAGACGCCCAAGAGCCACGACAGCACGCCCCUUACAAAAAGAAAGGACCCGCCUAUGCCAUCUCCGAGGACGAUCAAUCUGGUGCAGUCGCUGCGGUACGUGAACCGGGUGGAACGUAUGGGAACGCGAUACUGAAGAAAAAAUGCAGCAGUCCCGCAAGCUCGCGUCCGCCAACUCUAAGAGUUCAUACGACCAGAACAAGUUCUGCAAGUACCAUGAUAUGAGAGGUCAUGACACCAAUGAAUGUAGACACCUCUACGAGGCAUGGCUCGCCUCCACCAGCGACGGUCGCACCGAGGUCGAACCACCGCAACCAAAAAAGAACAAAAACAUUAAAAGUUGGAGCAAGAGCAAGGACAAGAAGAAAAAUACCAACGAAAAAAGAAGCAGACUCCCCUCCGGCAGAUGAUGGCGACCAAUCGCAUCAUGAUGAGGAGUCAACCUCCAACGAAGAAAAACCGAAAGCUCGGCGAAAGAUUUUCACAAUCCGAACCACGCCAUCCACAACGGCAAAGCCGGAGGACGAUCUACGCCAAUUACUCAACCAAAAAUCAGGGAAGACGAUCGAGAGCCUCACUACCACCGACAACCCGCUUAUGGAAAUCGAUGGCGCACCGCUUAUGAUCAGUCGGUCCAUAAGGAAGCUCAAUGUUUCAGACGCUCGACACGUCCUUGACGCCAAGAGAAAGGACCCACUCCAUCAGCAAGACGAACUUAAACGGGAGCUGUGGUCAAACAAUCAAUCUGAUGGUAUCGAGACGACGGAUCUCCGAAUUAAGCUCAACUCGAAGAUCUCGGAUCUCCACGAAAAACUCAAAUGAUGCAAGACCGACCGUUCCAACGCAGAGCCAGAGCCGUUCGCCCAGGUUCCUACAUUUACUAUCCGAACCGAACCGAACCCGAAACUAUCCGAACCGAACCGAACCGAAAAUAGGUCAAGUACUAAAUGGAUCCUCUAGCCCCUAUCUAAACUACCCGAAACCCGAAAUUUCCGAACCGAACCGAUACCCGAAAUGCCCAGGCCUGAUAUGAACACAGGACAUUUUAUUUGUGUUUCGAAAAAAAAAGAAGAACACAAAGCAUUUUAUUUGAGAAAAUUUUGAAAAUAUUUAUUUUAAAUAGAAUUUGGAAGGUUUUGCAAUUUUCGUAACUGACAAAUCAUAACUAUUCAAAACAAUGUGUUGAUAUUUAUUUAUUAGAAAUCUAUAUUUAUAUAUUCAUUUAUUUUGAUUGUAUAUAAUUUUAUUUGAAUGUUAAAGCAUUUAUGUUAUCAAGAACAUUGCAUGCAGUGUUAUAUAUGUUUAAUUCUAGAAAUUUAUCUAAGCUUAUAUACUAAAGAUUUUCUUUUUUUUGAAAUGAAAUUGAAUUUCUAAAUAUGAUGUUUGAGAAGUCUUAAAAUUAAUCUUUCUGAUUUCAAGAUCCAUGACCUUUUUUUCUAAAUAACGAAAAGAACAGUACACAACACUGGUCUGUCCACAUGAUUUUGGAAUCUUUGACAAAUCGAUAUUGAAAUACAUGUUUAAUAUAAAAUAUUAACAAAAUCUGCCGGUAGAUUUGGAUGGACAUGAGAAAUAUGACUCAUUUGUAAACCAGAACCAAAACCAAAACCUUAUUAACACCAAACGUGUUAAAAAGAGACGUGAGUCUCAAGAAAAGAAACAGACCAUCAAAAUCUGGUACUCCUUAACCACUCCCACCACUUACGCUUCACCUUGUCCAAAGUUGUUUCUCUUUGCUCAGUAUCGUUUUCAUUUCCUUUUGUCUCCUUCCACAAUUCUUAUUUCGAGUCUCAAACAUCUGUUUCAGCCUCCUUAGCUCCCUUUAGUGAUUCAAGUUUGCUUCCACUUUACCAUACUUCAAUUCCAUCAAGACCUUUGUGUCAUCUCCAGACACCUGAGUUCUUUGUCUGAAUUGUUCUGCUAACCAGCUUGUUACGCUUAAAACUCUGAGCUGCAGUUUGAAUCUGAAACUAUAAUUUAUAAAGAGUGUAUUAUGAUUUUCUGAAGAUCAGGUCGAAAACAAAAGGUAGUCAGUAAUUAUGAAUUAUAAAGAGUAUAAAUCUGUGUUUGGCCAAAAAAGAAAGAGUAUAAAUAUGUGUGUUUAAAAGGUGCCCGCCAUAAAUCUACACUCAGGUGAAGAUUUAUCAUUGAAAGAUCACUGUAAAUAGUUUUAGGAUAACAUAUAUAACCUACAGUUAAGCGGGAUCAAAAACGAUAAACUGAGAAGUAAAAAACAUAGAAAUUAAAGAGACUAAGAUGUCAGUUAUGCACCACACCUCUUCAAAGCUUUAUUUAAACUGGCCAGUACAUUGUCGGCAUGGUAAGAUCUUCAACAUUAUCUAAUGGAAGAACCCUGUAACCAAACAAAAGAGAUGUCCACAAAAAUGAAAUCAGUAUUGUUGUUUGAAUGAUAUUGGAUGAAGACAUAAUGCUUACGAUGAUUAAUUUCCAGUUCACACCCUUUUGCAUCAAUGUGUAUUCUUGCUCAAUCCCAUACCUAUUGAAUCACAAACAAAGAGUAUAUGUAUAAAUGAUUAAUCUGAAGAGAGAUUAAUAUACAGCUGAAGAAGAAGAUAGUACCAAGGCUCCUCAGAGGCAACUUUGGAGCUGCUGAAGAUCUUAGCAGCGUUGUGCCUCUUGUUGGUCGGAAUUGGAUUCCCAGCCGGCAUGUAAGCAUCACACAUCACCUUCAUAUAUCAACCAAUCAUUUUUCAAAAUCUGAUUUUGUUACAAACCAAAUAUUGUUACACUAAUUAUAUAAAAACAACCCACCAGAAUGUUGUUGCCAAAGUUCAUAAUAUGACUUCUCAUGGUUUGUGUUUUGAUAUGCUUUCUUGUAUAACAGGGAGGGAAAGACAAAGCAGAAGAGAAAUCUGAAGAUAACAUCCAUUUUGCCUAAAAUCAGAACAUAUUCCAUGAUGACGUUAACUGUAAAAACAUGUAACAUAAAUCGAUGAAUUUCAAGAUCAUGUCUGAAAUCUUAUAAACUAAUAAGAUGAAUAGAGAAGAAAGACUCAGACACACACCUGGGUAUACGUAAUAGAAGAAAGCAGUGGGAGCGAUGCGAAUGGGCCGGAGUCUUCAAACGAAAAGAUCAUUGACGAUGAACUAAACGGCAGAGAAAGAUAUUACUGGCAAUAUAUGAGAUUGUACAUAUUUAAAGAGGGUUUUGAGUAACGGUGAUUCUCAGAAGAGUUGAAACGAUGACGAAGAGAUAUGGGCUUGAUAUGAGUCAUAGUGAAUUUUUUUAAGAACACACAGAUGGCCCAUGACCAAACUUAGUCGACUGAAUCUUACCUGACAUGGGGAAACAAAGCCUUCUGAUAGGCUGAUUUUUUUAACUGGCGUGGAUACUCUCACCAUUCACCUUAUUCUCCUUUUAGUAUUGUGAUAUGUAGAUUGAAUAUCACGACAUUUAUCAUUUAUGUGUGACAUGCACAAAUGUAUAUCAUGUAAGUAAUACUACUCUGCUUCCUAAGAACAGAGACGUGUGGAAAGGAAGAUGAUAAAGUGUCAUGGGUCAAAACGAAGGAUAGUUGUGGACCUCAGAGAUAUAACGCAAAGCCCAAUUCAACAGACGGCAAAUGAUGGAACGUUUGUGUUUCAUUCAAAACUGUACAGAGUUGUAUUGUCUAAAGGGUGGUGAAGCUAGCUGGAGAAGUAGUAAUGCACCACAAAAUUCAAGCCAUUGUCGAUCUGUAUGUAGUGGUCUAGAAUGAGACACUUAUCCAACGAUUAUGGUUUUGAUUUCUAAGGCUUAAGAGAUCCAAGUUCUGUAUAAAUAGUUGUAAGCAAGUUUUCAGAAAGUAAAAGUUCAGUCUCCUCUUUAUUAUUUUUUUUUGGUACAUGUGUGUAAAAAUCAUACUAUUUUUCAUGCAUAAGUACAAAAUAAAAUAAAAUAAAACCGUUGACAUUGAAAAAACCUAGAGUCCAAAUAAUGUUUUGAGAUUGUAAGGUGCCGUAACAUCAGAUGAUCCGCUCCAAAUCAGCUCAGCGAUCUGUCCAUGAGCUUUCUCCGUCAAAUGACCAGGAUCAAAAAAGAUGUAAUCAUCAGCGUUUUCGCAUAGCUGGUAAGUUUGCGACGGUCCAUUUCGGAAUCCACACGUAUUGACUCCCCUUAACGGUCCGCUUCCGCAACAUGCCAUCUUCCCUUGCUUGAAACCGUAUUGUGAUGGAUUGUUGAUUCUUUGGAGCAGAGAAGUGUGAAAGUCGUGAAGAGAGUAUUUGAAUCCUGAUAGUUGACGCUCUAGACGCCUCAAAACUUUAGGGAACUCUUGGUUAUGGAGGUUGAUCAGCUCCGAGACCGGCUCAAAACAUGAUCCUAUCUUUGUCGGGUCAGUUAUCGACAUGCUUGGUGUACAACCGUAUGGACCUAAGCUCAAGAACCCGAACUUCCUUGCUCCCAUUUUAUACAAUUCCUAAAG